rnacentral:rRNA from 1 species
AGCGGCGCACGGGUGCGGAACACGUGUGCAACCUACCUUUAUCAGGGGGAUAGCCUUUCGAAAGGAAGAUUAAUACCCCAUAAUAUAUUGAAUGGCAUCAUUCGAUAUUGAAAACUCCGGUGGAUAGAGAUGGGCACGCGCAAGAUUAGAUAGUUGGUGAGGUAACGGCUCACCAAGUCAAUGAUCUUUAGGGGGCCUGAGAGGGUGAUCCCCCACACUGGUACUGAGACACGGACCAGACUCCUACGGGAGGCAGCAGUGAGGAAUAUUGGACAAUGGGUGAGAGCCUGAUCCAGCCAUCCCGCGUGAAGGACGACGGCCCUAUGGGUUGUAAACUUCUUUUGUAUAGGGAUAAACCUUUCCACGUGUGGAAAGCUGAAGGUACUAUACGAAUAAGCACCGGCUAACUCCGUGCCAGCAGCCGCGGUAAUACGGAGGGUGCAAGCGUUAUCCGGAUUUAUUGGGUUUAAAGGGUCCGUAGGCGGACUCGUAAGUCAGUGGUGAAAUCUCAUAGCUUAACUAUGAAACUGCCAUUGAUACUGCGGGUCUUGAGUAAGGUAGAGGUAGCUGGAAUAAGUAGUGUAGCGGUGAAAUGCAUAGAUAUUACUUAGAACACCAAUUGCGAAGGCAGGUUACCAUGUCUUAACUGACGCUGAUGGACGAAAGCGUGGGGAGCGAACAGGAUUAGAUACCCUGGUAGUCCACGCCGUAAACGAUGCUAACUCGUUUUUGGGUCUUCGGAUUCAGAGACUAAGCGAAAGUGAUAAGUUAGCCACCUGGGGAGUACGAACGCAAGUUUGAAACUCAAAGGAAUUGACGGGGGCCCGCACAAGCGGUGGAUUAUGUGGUUUAAUUCGAUGAUACGCGAGGAACCUUACCAAGGCUUAAAUGGGAAUUGAUCGGUUUAGAAAUAGACCUUCCUUCGGGCAAUUUUCAAGGUGCUGCAUGGUUGUCGUCAGCUCGUGCCGUGAGGUGUUAGGUUAAGUCCUGCAACGAGCGCAACCCCUGUCACUAGUUGCUAACAUUCAGUUGAGGACUCUAGUGAGACUGCCUACGCAAG